rnacentral:lncRNA from 1 species
GGCGGCACGCGGAACCACAGCAUGUUCUCGCGGCGCGCGGUGACGGUCUUGAUGUUCAGCAGGUGCUGCGGGCCCACGUUGGUGGACACCGAGGUGGAGCCCCAGGUGCCGCAGCCCAGGGUGAGGGAGGGGUCCAGGUGGAAGUUGUACAGGUCACCAAUGGCGCCCUGCGGAGGUUGGGAGGGUUGGGAUGAGCGCACAUGUGGGGUUGGAUUGCAGCGACAGUUGGAAGGCAAAGCCCGCGCACCCGUCGCCCAAACGCCCUGGCUGUGUGCUCGCAGUUACAGCCAGACAGC